rnacentral:rRNA from 1 species
AACGAACGCUGGCGGCAUGCCUAAUACAUGCAAGUCUAACGAUCACUUCGGUGGUAGUGGCGCACGGGUGCGUAACGCGUGGGAAUCUGCCCUUGGGUUCGGAAUAACGUCGGGAAACUGACGCUAAUACCGGAUGAUGACGUAAGUCCAAAGAUUUAUCGCCCAGGGAUGAGCCCGCGCAGGAUUAGCUAGUUGGUGGGGUAAAGGCCUACCAAGGCGACGAUCCUUAGCUGGUCUGAGAGGAUGAUCAGCCACACUGGGACUGAGACACGGCCCAGACUCCUACGGGAGGCAGCAGUAGGGAAUAUUGGACAAUGGGGACAACCCUGAUCCAGCAAUGCCGCGUGAGUGAUGAAGGCCUUAGGGUUGUAAAGCUCUUUUACCCGGGAUGAUAAUGACAGUACCGGGAGAAUAAGCCCCGGCUAACUCCGUGCCAGCCGCCGCCGUAA